rnacentral:rRNA from 1 species
AUUGAACGCUGGCGGCAGGCUUAACACAUGCAAGUCGAGCGAGCGGCGGACGGGUGAGUAAUGUCUGGGAAACUGCCUGAUGGAGGGGGAUAACUACUGGAAACGGUAGCUAAUACCGCAUACCAUCAGAUGUGCCCAGAUGGGAUUAGCUAGUAGGGGGGGUAAUGGCUCACCUAGGCGACGAUCCCUAGCUGGUCUGAGAGGAUGACCAGCCACACUGGAACUAAGACACGGUCCAGAGUCCUACGGGAGGCAGCAGUGGGGAAUAUGGCACAAGGGGCGCAAGCCUGAUGCAGCCAUGCGGGGGGUGUGAAGAAGGCCGUCGGGUUGUAAAGCACUUUCAGCGGGGAGGCGUUACUCGCAGAAGAAGCACCGGCUAACUCCGGGCCAGCGGCGGCGGUAAUUC